rnacentral:rRNA from 1 species
UACGUAGGGCGCAAGCGUUGUCCGGAAUUAUUGGGCGUAAAGAGCUCGUAGGUGGUCUGUCGCGUCUGCCGUGAAAACCCGAGGCUUAACCUCGUGGCUUGCGGUGGAUACGGGCAGACUAGAGGUAGGUAGGGGAGAAUGGAAUUCCCGGUGUAGCGGUGAAAUGCGCAGAUAUCGGGAGGAACACCGGUGGCGAAGGCGGUUCUCUGGGCCUUACCUGACGCUGAGGAGCGAAAGCUAGGGGAGCAAACGGG